UGUUACGACUGUUUUUAGUUUCCUUUUUACUAAGAAAUGCAAAUAGAAUCGUCAUUUCACCUCAACGCCUAUAGCUCACAUCGUAGAAACUGUUAUAACGAGGUAAGUGAACACGACACCUCGAAAUAGUGUCACAUUCUCAAUUGAAUUUCGCCUGGAGAUAAAAUUGAAUUUUCGCUGGGAGAUAAAGCAGGGCCUUUGACAUUGGAUUACAGCAGCUGCUUCUGUCAAAUACCAGUUGAAUAUCACAGUAAAAGAAACCCGUGCAGCCAGUCGACGAUCCCUACGGCAUCAACGCUGAAGUGGUUUUUGGCGAUAUCUCCAUCCCGCUAGUGGACUUGUAUCCUGGACUCAACACUUCACAAGCUACAACACAUCCAGUUCCAGAAACAGGGGAGCAGGGUUCAGUUGAACCUGAGAAAUGAAUGCAUAACAUGUGUCGGUGAAAGUUAUUGUGGCUGAAGAUUUGGUAUUUCCACCAAGACUUUAUAUUGACAAUGGAAUAUGAUAGAAUUAUUUUUUAUUAUUAUUGUGUAAACAUUAAUGAUACAGUAGUGCUGGUGUCAGAUGGGCAUGAUGACGGACGCACAUCUCUGUCCUUCAUGCAGCUACCUGCCAACUCUGCACAUUAGUUUAGGUAACUCUAAAAGCAGUUCAACUUUAUAUUUGAAUAUUUAAAUUGUGCUUUUCCUUUAUGUUGUAUAAUAAUGUAUUUGAAAGAUAAUAAAGUUUAUUGUUGUCAUUACUUUACAAAUAUUAAUAUCAUAUUUAUGUAAUAGUAUCUAUAUUACUAAAACUCUGUUCUUGACCGGUUUUGGCAUUCUGUGCUGCGGUUUCCGAGAGUACGCCGCCACCUACGGCCGUCAUUUUUGGCCACCUCGCUCAGAGGCCCCCUCUGCCGUAUGUGUGCCGAGGAUUUUUCCCGUCGAUGAAAAUUGACAGAGAUAUUAAUGUUUUUACAACAUUCCCCAUUCUCUCUGCUGCCCCUGCUGGAGGGAGGGGGAGGGACUAUAAAACCAGGAAGUGGUGUGCCUCAAUCAGUCUCUGCAAGUGGUGUGCCUCAAUCAGAGCUUUGAAUGACACUGACAAAUGUCUACAGCACUGCGAGUACCCUUAAUUUGGUUUGAAAAUGAAAAUAUGGUUAGAGGUAAAAAAGCACUGCCUGCAAAUGGUUGUUUGGGUUUGGGUUGAAGUAAA